UACGUAGGGAGCAAGCGUUGUCCGGAAUCAUUGGGCGUAAAGCGCGCGUCGGUGGCCCUGUAAGUCCGUUGUGAAAGUCAAAGGCUCAACCUUUGAAAGCCGAUGGAUACUGCAGGGCUAGAGUACGGAAGAGGCGAGUGGAAUUCCUGGUGUAGCGGUGGAAUGCGCAGAUAUCAGGAGGAACACCAAUAGCGAAGGCAGCUCGCUGGGACGUUACUGACUCUGAGGCGCGAAAGCGUGGGGAGCGAACAGG
rnacentral:rRNA from 1 species